rnacentral:piRNA from 1 species
UAGAAUUAGUUGUAGGCGACAGUGACUGGU